rnacentral:rRNA from 1 species
GAUAAACGCUGGCGGCGUGCCUAAUACAUGCAAGUCGAGCGAACGGACGAGAAGCUUGCUUCUCUGAUGUUAGCGGCGGACGGGUGAGUAACACGUGGAUAACCUACCUAUAAGACUGGGAUAACUUCGGGAAACCGGAGCUAAUACCGGAUAAUAUUUUGAACCGCAUGGUUCAAAAGUGAAAGACGGUCUUGCUGUCACUUAUAGAUGGAUCCGCGCUGCAUUAGCUAGUUGGUAAGGUAACGGCUUACCAAGGCAACGAUGCAUAGCCGACCUGAGAGGGUGAUCGGCCACACUGGAACUGAGACACGGUCCAGACUCCUACGGGAGGCAGCAGUAGGGAAUCUUCCGCAAUGGGCGAAAGCCUGACGGAGCAACGCCGCGUGAGUGAUGAAGGUCUUCGGAUCGUAAAACUCUGUUAUUAGGGAAGAACAUAUGUGUAAGUAACUGUGCACAUCUUGACGGUACCUAAUCAGAAAGCCACGGCUAACUACGUGCCAGCAGCCGCGGUAAUACGUAGGUGGCAAGCGUUAUCCGGAAUUAUUGGGCGUAAAGCGCGCGUAGGCGGUUUUUUAAGUCUGAUGUGAAAGCCCACGGCUCAACCGUGGAGGGUCAUUGGAAACUGGAAAACUUGAGUGCAGAAGAGGAAAGUGGAAUUCCAUGUGUAGCGGUGAAAUGCGCAGAGAUAUGGAGGAACACCAGUGGCGAAGGCGACUUUCUGGUCUGUAACUGACGCUGAUGUGCGAAAGCGUGGGGAUCAAACAGGAUUAGAUACCCUGGUAGUCCACGCCGUAAACGAUGAGUGCUAAGUGUUAGGGGGUUUCCGCCCCUUAGUGCUGCAGCUAACGCAUUAAGCACUCCGCCUGGGGAGUACGACCGCAAGGUUGAAACUCAAAGGAAUUGACGGGGACCCGCACAAGCGGUGGAGCAUGUGGUUUAAUUCGAAGCAACGCGAAGAACCUUACCAAAUCUUGACAUCCUUUGACAACUCUAGAGAUAGAGCCUUCCCCUUCGGGGGACAAAGUGACAGGUGGUGCAUGGUUGUCGUCAGCUCGUGUCGUGAGAUGUUGGGUUAAGUCCCGCAACGAGCGCAACCCUUAAGCUUAGUUGCCAUCAUUAAGUUGGGCACUCUAAGUUGACUGCCGGUGACAAACCGGAGGAAGGUGGGGAUGACGUCAAAUCAUCAUGCCCCUUAUGAUUUGGGCUACACACGUGCUACAAUGGACAAUACAAAGGGCAGCGAAACUGCGAGGUCAAGCAAAUCCCAUAAAGUUGUUCUCAGUUCGGAUUGUAGUCUGCAACUCGACUACAUGAAGCUGGAAUCGCUAGUAAUCGUAGAUCAGCAUGCUACGGUGAAUACGUUCCCGGGUCU